rnacentral:rRNA from 1 species
GACGAACGCUGGCGGCGUGCUUAACACAUGCAAGUCGAACGAUGAAACCUAGCUUGCUAGGUCGAUUAGUGGCGAACGGGUGAGUAACACGUGACUAACCUGCCCCUUUCUCUGGGAUAACGCUCCGAAAGGAGUGCUAAUACCGGAUACUCACACCGAGGCACAUGCCUUGGUCUGGAAAGUUUUUGGGAAAGGGAUGUAGUCGCGGCCUAUCAGCUUGUUGGUGAGGUAACGGCUCACCAAGGCGACGACGGGUAGCCGGCGUGAGAGGCCGACCGGCCACACUGGGACUGAGACACGGCCCAGACUACUACGGGAGGCAGCAGUGGGGAAUAUUGCACGAUGGGCGCAAGCCUGAUGCAGCGACGCCGCGUGAGGGAUGAAGGUCUUCGGAUUGUAAACCUCUUUCAGUAGGGACGAAGCGAAAGUGACGGUACCUAAAGAAGAAGCACCGGCUAACUACGUGCCAGCCGCCGCAGUAA